UUCUUUAAUUUUAAUGGAUUACUUGCUGCUGAUUCUCCCGUAGACAUAGAUAUCGAAACUCAGACCAAAUUACGUAUAUUUCUCGUGUCCUUAUUUUUCUCGUUUAUUUCUCUGACGAUUUCACGGCAAGAUCCUAUCGUUUUCGCGUAUUAUAUUCCAACAGCUUCCCUGAUGCUAAUGUUUAUCUAGCUUUUUCCAUGUAAUGGACUCUUUGCUGGUAUCCUGUCAAGAGUUAUAGCAAUUAAUAUCCUCACCAAUUGAAGUUUCGAUUUCGGGAAGCUUGUAAAAAUCUUCCAAACAUGGCACUUGCUUCUACCGAAAAAGUGAUUCUCGGGUCUAUUGCCUUUGCGAUAUUCUGGGUAUUGGCCGUUUUCCCAUCUGUGCCGUUCCUACCUGUAGGAAGAACAGCAGGUUCGCUCCUUGGAGCGAUGCUUAUGGUCAUUUUCCGGGUCAUAACCCCAGAGCAAGCUUACGCUGCGAUUGAUCUCCCAAUCCUCGGCCUUCUCUUUGGGACGAUGGUGGUUAGUGUCUAUCUGGAAAAGGCCGAUAUGUUCAAUCACCUGGGUAAGUUGCUCUCCUGGAAAAGCAAGGGAGCACAUGACUUGCUUUGUCGGAUUUGCUUGAUCUCUGCCAUUUCAAGUGCUUUCUUCACAAAUGAUACGUCUUGUGUUCUCCUGACUGAGUUCGUGCUUAAGAUAGCCGGGCAACACAAUCUCCCUCCGCAUCCAUUUUUACUUGCCCUUGCGUCGAGCGCCAAUAUUGGGUCUUCGGCGACUCCCAUUGGGAAUCCUCAAAAUUUAGUCAUAGCUAUGCAGAGUAAGAUCUCAUUUGGGAGUUUUCUCGUCGUACUCCUUCCUCCAACGGUGAUCGGGGUUCUCGUCAAUGCGCUGAUUCUUCUAUGCAUGUACUGGAAGCUACUGUCCGUCCAAAAGGACGAAGAGGAUGCAGCUUCUGAAGUAGUAGCUGAGAAAGAUGUGAGUUCUCAUGAGAUGCAUCUUCUUCUUCCUUUUAGAAACCGGUCGACUUCUUGUGAGAAUGAAACUCACCAGGUCUCAAGCAGUGCGCCUGCGUCGGCAAGGAACUCAACUGCAUCGGAAGAGACGCUUCACAACGGUGCUUCUCAGAAAAAGCAUGGAACGGCUGCUUCCGAUGAAGUCGUAUCUGUCAACGGGUUGAAUGAUGUGUUCCCAGAGAAGCAUUCAAAGGGGAAGGAAACACUUGCCCCUCGAUUUAAGAGGAUAUUAUGGAAAUCACGCGUUUACUUUGUCACCAUCGGUAUGCUGAUCUCUUUUUUGAUAGGUCUGAAUAUGUCUUGGACAGCUAUUACCGCCGCCCUGGCCCUCGUAAUUCUCGACUUUAAAGAUGCCCAGUCUUGUCUAGAGAAGGUCUCCUACCCUCUGUUGAUAUUCUUUUGUGGAAUGUUCAUCACGGUCGAUGGAUUCAACAGAACUGGAAUUCCAAGCGCUCUCUGGGACUGGAUGGAGCCACAUGCCAAAGUCAAUUGUGCUAGCGGGAUAGCUGUUCUUGCUGUUGUCAUUUUGGUGCUGUCGAAUGUCGCUUCGAAUGUGCCAACCGUUCUCUUGCUUGGAAGCCAGGUGGCUACAUCAGCGGCUGCUAUUUCAGCCGCGGAAGUGAAGAAGUCAUGGCUCAUAUUAGCUUGGGUGAGCUCUGUUGCAGGGAAUCUCUCGCUGCUUGGAUCGGCGGCCAACUUGAUUGUGUGCGAAAAGGCUCGCCUGGCCCCAAAUCUUGGCUACACUCUGUCCUUCUGGAACCACUUGAAGUUUGGAGUCCCUUCCACCAUUAUUGUAACUGCCAUAGGCUUGGCACUAAUAAGAUGACAAGAAGUAACUAAUAGCAUCUCUCCUGGAUGCUCGAUAGAUCUUUCAAUUAAGGCAAUCUCCUACUGAACUCGCUAUCAGAAUGCGAUAAUCAGAAUUUCAGACAGGAGAUGAAAGUCUCAUCAACACCGGUUUGGCAUCCAGUAAUACGCAGUGGUACCAAGUUGUUCCGUCGGGCCCCAAUUCAGCACAUAGGCGCCCACAGGAUAAGCUCUCUACAGCCCAAGCUCGUACGAUAAUGAUUUUAUAAUGAGGGAACUAGGACUUCUGCAAGCCCUCACUGAAUAAGUUUCUUCGCUUCAGGACUUCCUAUAGUUCAUCCGAAAGAAAGCAAAGUAUGAUAUACAACGUAAUCUUGCACGUCACGGGGGCGAAUCUCCUGCGACUUGACUUAGAAUGAGAUGACAAGAGCAUGUAGUUGCUCCUCCUUCCUCUUUGCUUCUCGCAAAAAUAGAAAGAAGACAGUCAAUUUUCUCUUCUUCUUUUUUCUUCUUUUUCUUUUUUCCUUUCGUUUUGAAUUUGUGGAUUCAGUGCGACUUCUGCCAUGUUGUGUUUGUG